rnacentral:lncRNA from 1 species
GAAUGGCAGACUCUGGACAUGCUCCUAGAGAUGGGAGGUCAAAAUGAUCAACGUUCAGGGUCCCUUCAUCUCAGAGGGUCUCGAGUCACCUCAUUUAAAGUGUGGCCUGGGACACCUCCUAUCCAGCCAUACGCCGCCCAGGACUGGCUCAACAGCUCCACCCUCCACUGCUGUUCACCCAUGACACGUCACUUCCCACCCGCCACUGCUGGCUCACCUGUGACACCCCAGGCAGCUCAGAUGCCCGGCAGGUCCUGCUGGUGUGUAUUAGCCGGGGUCUCCAAAGAACCAGAGCCAGCAGGAGACACACCCGUCUCUGUAUCUGGAGAAAAAGAUCGAUGA